GUUGGAGAGGAGGGCGUGGCUUCCGGCAUUUGGUGGAGCCUUUGUAUCUCGCUCCCGCCAGAGCUUGGGAUCAGUCUCAGCUGUUCUGUGUCCUCCACCUCGGGAGUGCCCGGUGACUGUCACAGCCUCUUGCCCUGUGAUCUGCAGGUUCUGGGAGACGCACAGCUAAGAUGCCAGGACAUCCUGGAAGCUGGGAAAAGGUCCUGCUGACAAAGGAGAUUGUGACAUAUUGCUGUGCCUAACACUAAGGUGAUGUUACUUCUUUGCUUUGGCUGUGCCCUUGGAAGGCAUUGAGACAUACUGCUGUGCCAAGCACCAAGAUGAUGUAACGUGACUUUUCUCUUCUGCUUCAGGCCUACCAAAAGAAAAGAUUGUGACAGAUCACUGGACCCAGCACCUAGGUGAUGUGACUCUCCUUAUUUGCCUGAGACCUGCAUAUUUUAGAUAUUGUGACAUACAACUGGAACAAACACCUAGGGGUUGGAAUGCUCCUGCCUGAGUCCCUCCCACCGGAGGCCUUGUGAUGUUUUUUUGUUUGUUUUUUGUUUUUUUGAGAUGGGGUUUUGUUCUUGUUGCCCAGACUGGCGUGCGGUGGUUGCUCACCGCAACCUCUGCCUCCCGGGUUCAAGUGGUUUUCCUGCCUCAACCUCCCGAGUAGCUGAGAUUACAGACAUCUGCCACCAUGCCCGGCUAAUUUUCUAUUUUUAGUAGAGACGGGGUUUCUCCAUGUUGGUCAGGCUGGUCUCAAACUCCUGAAAUCAGGUGAUCCACCUGCCUUGGCCUCCCAAAAUAUUGGGAUUACAGUUGUGAGCCACCGCGCCCAGCUUUGUGAUGUAUUUCUGCAUCCAUCAUGCAGGAGAAAAAACUCUGUAUUUUUGCCCGCAUUCUGCCCAUGGGGAAGAUUUUGACAUAUCGUUGGGCCCAGCAACCAGUCAUUGUGUCUGCCAUAUCUGGGCCCAGCACCCAAGGGAUCUCACUCUUCUACAUGUGCCCUGCUUCCAGGGGAGGAUUGUAACAUCCCUGGUCAAGCCCCCAGUGAUGUGAUUCUCCUGCUUGAUGCCUGCCCUCAGGGAGGAUUGUGACAUAGCGUUGGCCCAACACAGUUGAUGUAACUCUUGCAUUUGCUCUUUGCAUACAGGUAGGAUUGUGACAUAUAUCUGGCCAAGCGUGCAGAUGUAAUGAUGACUGUCAUACCUUGAAGAAGCCAAUAGGAGAGAGAAUGUUGCUCUCAGGCUUAGGAAAAUGAGGAAGUCUUUCUAUACAAAAGUCAUAAAGAAUUACUACUCUCUCACAUAUAUAAAGCCCUAGUGUGUUACAGAGAAUGUCAUAACAGGGCCCAGCACACAAGUGAGAUUGUUUGUCCUAUGCAAACCACGCCAACCUUUACAGUUGUCACCCUGACCCAUUGACAGAGUCCACUAGUGAGGUCCUGAAACACAUGUGAACGCAGUCCACAGUUGGAAUAGUGACUGUUAUCUGUGAACAUCUGACUACAGUUGGGAUGGUGACUCAUUUCUAAAUCCAGCUCAUAGGAAGGUGAAGACUCUCCUAUCUGGUCUCAGUCAAUUAGAUGUUGACUCUCAUAUCUGGGCUUAGAACCACAGGAAAGAUGCUGGAGCUCCUUGUGCAAAGGUCACAGAGGAUUACCAAUCUUGCAUAUUGUAUAAAGUCCUCAGGUGACAUAGAGGGUGUCUCUCGAAUGCACACCCAGGCAACAGUAAAGAUUGUCAUUCUCCCACAUAAACACAUCCCACUGUUGAAGUUCUGAAUUUCACAGAGGCUGUCAAAAGUUGGAUGAUUUCCUCUCAUGUGUGGAUCUGGUCCACAGGUGGGUUAGUGACUUCCAGACCAAGAUUCAGCACACAUGUAAGGCUGUGACUACACUAAGAAGAUACAGUCUGCAGAAGAAAUCGUGGCUCUUUUGCACACAUUCUGUCAAUCAUUGAGAUUGCGACUUGUACUUAGACCCACCAUACAGGAGGUGUUGACUUUCAUACCUUUAGAACCUGGACAUGUUUGGAAUUUCUAAUCUAAUCCCUGGACUUUGCUGCAGGUGUUAUUGUGUGCAUUGCAAAGCACCUUAGUGAUUUGACUCUCCUGCCUUGGCCAAGCAUACAAAUGAGAUUGUGACAUAUGGCUUGACUCUGGACCUCCAAGAUGUGACUCUUUUUUUCCAGCCUUGGAGCUGCCCACAUAUUGCAUUGUGACAUAUUCCUAAGCCCUGCACUCAGGUUAUAUGACUCUCCUUUUUUGCUUAGGCCCUGGAUUUUUUUUUUUUUUUUUUUUUUUUUUUUUUUUUUUUUUUUUUUUUUGAGAAGGAGUCUCGCUCUUUCACCCAGGCUGGAGUGCAGUGGCGCAAUCUCGGCUCACUGCAGGCUCCGACCCCUGGGGUUCACGCCAUUCUCCUGCCUCAGCCUCCCGCGUAGCUGGGACUACAGGCACCCGCCACCUCGCCUGGUUAAUUUUUUGUAUUUUUUAGUAGAAACGGGGUUUCACUGUGUUAGUUAGCCAGGAUGGUCUCGAUCUCCUGACCUCGUGAUCCGCCCGCCUCGGCCUCCCAAAGUGCUGGGAUUACAGGCGUGAGCCACCGCGCCCGGCCUGCCCUGAAUAUUUUUCAUGUUAAGACAUAUUACUAGGUCCAACACCUAUAAAAUGGGAGACUGCCACCUGGGUCCUUUCUACAGAGGGCCUUGUGACAUACCUCUGCAUCAGUAACCUAGGAGAUGUUAUUCUCCAUUUUUGCCUGUACUCGCCCCACAGAAAAAAUUGUGGCUGGCGCAGGUACCAGGUGAUGUGUCUCUGCUGCCUGGGCCUGGACCACAGAGAGCAUUGUUACUGAUUGCUGGGCUCAGCACCCAGGUGAUGUGACUGCUGCCUGUGUGCUGCUUUCAGGAGAAGGUUGUAACUUAUUCCUGGCUGACUAUUCAGUUACACUCCUGACCUCUGCCCUCGGAAAAGGUUGUGUCAAGCCAGGUCCGGUGGCUCAUGCCAGUAAUCCCCAGCACUUUGGGAGAACCGAGGUGGGUGGAUCGCCUGAGGAGUUUGAGACCAGCUGGCCGACAUGGUGAAAACCCGUCUCUACUAAAAAUACAAAAAUUAAUCAGGCAUGGUGGUGGGCGCCUGUAAUCUCAGCUACUCGGGAGCCUGAGGCAGGACAAUUGCAUGAACCUGGGAGGUGGAGGUUGCAGUGAGUCAAGAUCGUGCCACUGCACUCCAGCCUGGGCAGCAGAGCAAGACUCCGUCUCGGAAAAAAAAAAAAAAAAAUUACAAAAAUCAGCCAGGCGUGGUGGCAUGCGCCUGUAGUCCCAGCUACUUGGGAGGCUGAGGCACAGGAAUCGCUUGAACCUAGGAGGCAGAGGUUGCAGUGAGCCAAGACUGUGCCAUUGCACUCCAGCCUGGGCAACAAGAGCAAAACUCCAUCUCAAAAAAAAAAAAAAAAAAAAGGUUGUGUCAUAUUCCUGGCUAAAAAUCCAGAUGAUGCGACCCUCUCUCCCUAUUCACAGGCAGGAUUGUAAAAUACAUCUUUUUUUUUUUUUUUUUGAGAGAGUUUCAUUUUGUCACCCAGGCUGGAGUGCAGUGGCAUGAUCUUGGCUCACUGCAACCUCCACUUCCCGGGUUCAAGCAAUUCUCCUGCCUCAGCCUCCUAAGUAGCUAGGACUACAGGCAUGAGCUACCACAUCUGGCUAAUUUUUGUAUUUCUAGUAGAGAUAGGGUUUCCCAGUGUUGGUGAGGCUGGUCUUAAACUCUUGACCUCAGGGGAUCCACCUGCUUCGGCCUCCCAAAGUGCUGGGAUUAUAGGUGUGAGCGACUGCACCUGGCUUGUAAAAUACAUCUGACCUAGAUCACAGAUGCAAUGGUUACUCUCAUACCUCACACUAUCUAAUGGGAGAGAUGCUCUCUCUCUCUUUUUUUUUUUUUUUUUGAGACAGUUUCGUUCUUGUUACCCAGGCUGCAGUGCAAUGGCGUGAUCUCUGCCCACCGCAACCUCUGCCUCCCAGGUUCAAGCGAUUCUGCCUCAGCCUCCCACGUAGCUGAGAUUACAGACAUGUGCCACCAUGCCCAGCUAAUUUUGUAUUUUUAGUAGAGAUGGGGUUUCUCCACGUUGGUUAGGCUGGUCUCGAACUCCCGACCUCAGGUGAUCUGCCCACCUCGGCCUCCCAAAGUGCUGGGAUUACAGGCAUGAGCCACUGCGCCCAGCCCAAGAUGCUGUCUGUUACAGCUAGGCCUAGCGUCAUGAAUAUGAUUCUGGGUCUCCUUGUACAAAGGUCAUAAAGAAUUACCACUUUCUUGUAUACUAUAUAAAUCUCUUGUGGUACAGAGAGUCUCAUUACAGGGUUCAGCAUACAGGUGAGAUUGUUUCUCAUAUACACUCCCCACCACCUGUUAGAAUUGUCACGCUCACACAUGGACAGAGCCCACUGGUGAGGCCCUGAAUCUCACACACAUACACAGUCUAUAGUUAAAAUUGUGACUGUCAUAUGUGAACAUCUGGCUAGAGUUGAAAUAAUGACUUAUUUCAGGCCGGGCGCGGUGGCUCACGCUUGUAAUCCCAGCACUUUGGGAGGCCAAGGUGGGCAGAUCACGAGGUCAAGAGAUCGAGACCACGGUGAAACCCGGUCUCUACUAAAAAUACAAAAAAUUAGCCAGGCGUGGUGGCAGGCGCCUGUAGUCCCAGCUACUUGGAGAGGCUGAGGCAGGAGAACGGCAUGAACCCAGGAGGCGGAGCUUGCAGUGAGCCGAGAUUGUGCCACUGCACUCCAGCCUGGGUGACAGAGCGAGACUCUGUCUCAAAAAAAAAUGACUUAUUUCUAAAUCCAGUUCAUAGGCAAGUGAGAAUUCUACCUGUCUAAGCCCAGGUAGGAUAGUCAACAUGUCCCUAAUUGGCUGGGGGACAUGUUGACUCUUCUAUCUGAGCUUAGGGCCAAACAGUUCAUGGAAGGGAUGAAGGCUGUCAGCUCUCAUGCACAGAUCCAGUUGGUGAGAUUGUCACUAGCAUACUCAGACCCAACAUACUCUGAUACCUAGAACUGGGACAUGUGCAGGAUUUUUAAUUACUGAACCUUCCUGCAGGUGUGAUUGUGACAUAUGUCUUUGUUAUGCACCUGAGUGGUUUGAUGCUCCUGCCUUGGUUCAACCCAAAGUGAAGACUGUGAUGUAUCACUGGACCCAGCAUCUCAGUGAUGUGACUCUUCUUUUUGGACACCACAAAUUUUGGGUAUUGUCAAAUAUUGCUGGAUCCUGUACCCAUGUUAUGUGACUCUCCAACCUGUGUCCUGCAUGUUGUGCCAUACUGCAGCACAAUGUGUCACAUUAGACAUCAUUACAUAUUGCUGGGCUCAACACCCAAGUGAUGUAACAUUUUCCUGGGCCCUGACUACAGGAGGCUUUGUGACAUAACUGAAUGCCCAUAACCAUGGUGAUGUUACUCUUCUCCUGCCUGGUCUCUGCUCACAGGGAAAUUGUGACAUAUCAUUGGCCUAGCAUCUUGGUCAUGUGACUCUCCUCUUUUUCUCAGGCCCCACAUAUUUGGGUAUUGUGACAUACCCAAAUGUGACACUGGGCUCAACACCUAAGGGAUGGGGGGGGUCCCCUACCUGGCCCCUUCCUGAAAGGGGCAUUGUGACAUACCUCUGCAUAGGUAUGUCACAGUUAUUACCUAGGAGAUGUGACUCUCCUUUUCUGCCUGCACCCUGCUUACAGGGAAAAUUGUGGCACAUUUCUAUGGCCAGCAACCAGGUGACGUGUUUCUCCUGCCUGGGUCUUUGUUACAGAAAAGAUGGUUGACAUAUCACUAGGCCCAGCAUCUAGGCGAUGUGACUCUCUUCCUCUGCCUGGUGCCUGCUUACAGGAACAUUGUAGCAUAUUGCUAUGCCCAGCACUUUUCUUUUAGGUUUUGCCUGCAGGAGACUUUGUGACAUUGCUGGGCCCUUCAUUGACAUUCUGUGACUCUUCUGUCUCUGCCCACUUGGGCCAUUGUGACAUAUUGCUGGGUCCAACAUCCAGGUGAUGUAACUUUUAUGCCUGGGUCCUGGCACCAGAGGACAUUGUCUUUGCACCAGUCACACAGGUGAUGUGAUUUUCUUCUGUUACCUGGUCUCUGCUCACAGGAAGAAUUGUGACCUUGGUCAGGCAUGGUGGCUCACACCUGUAAUCACAGCACUUUGGGAGGCCAAGGCGAGUGGAUACCUGAGGUCAAGAGUUUGAGACCAGCCUGGCCAACGUGGUGAAACCCCAUCUUACUUAAAACACAAAAAUUAGCUGGGCAUGGUGGCAGGCGCCUGUAGUUCCAGCUACCCACAAGGCUGAGGCAGGAGAAUCGCUUGAACUGGGGAGGCAGAGAUUGCAGUGAGCCGAGAUUGCACCACUGCACUCCAGCCUGGGUGACAGCGAGACUCCAUCUCAAAUUUAAAAAAAAAUUGUGACCUUUUGCAGCACAUAGCUGAUUUGACUGUGCUUUGUGGAGUACACCAAGCAGGUUGUCAAACUGGUGGUCCCUUUACUGAAAUUUCGUUUCCACGAUGGUGUUGGUGGGGCAGCAGCAGAAUCCGUGCCUUUUCUCCUGGAGUGUGCGAGUCCGUGGUCCUGAGUAUCUCACACAGAUGUGGCAAUUUAUGUGAUCUAAUUAAGACCAUUGGUACAGAAACAGAUUCAGACGUCCUCUCAGAAAUAAUGCAUUGUUUAGCAAAGUGUAUUGAUGUAAUGGGAGAUGGAUGCCUUAAUAAUGAACACUUUGAAGAACACCUUUGCCACAUGUCCUCAGGACCUUCUGAGGGCUGUGUCAUGGGGUGUGGUCACUCAUUUGACUCACAAUAAAUUUCUUCAAAUAUUUUAAA